AGUCCUUUUAGAGUCAUUACAGGUCUGGAAUUGCAUUGGAUGGGAGAUAAACCAGUUGGAGGAAAAGAAGAGAAAAAUAGUGCAAUUUGGAGUUUUUAAUGCAGAGCAGUCGUGCAGAGCAGUCGUUUUGCUUGUAUUUUGUUCUAGCCUUCUUCUUUGGGGGCUUUUACGAUUCAUCUGAGUCAGUCGGAGAUCCCUUCGAUUUAGUCGAACUCUGACCUUCUUCAACUCCUAAUGCUGCAUGCAUGAUGUCGUCGAUGGUUGAGAACUCUGAUGAACUGUUCGCCGAACGUAUGUCCUCCCUUAAGCCAUCUCGAUAAAUCUUCACCAACGUUUCUUGGUCGUGAUUUUGAAGAAGACCCCCUGCC
rnacentral:lncRNA from 1 species